rnacentral:rRNA from 1 species
UACGUAGGGGGCAAGCGUUAUCCGGAAUUAUUGGGCGUAAAGGGUGCGUAGGCGGCAUAACAAGUCUUUGGUUAAAAUUCUAGGCUCAACCUAGUCAUGCCAAAGAAACUGUCAAGCUAGAGUACGGUAGAGGUGAGUGGAAUUCCAUGUGUAGCGGUAAAAUGCGUAAAUAUAUGGAGGAACACCAGUGGCGAAGGCGGCUCACUAGACCGAGACUGACGCUGAGGCACGAAAGCGUGGGGAGCAAACA